rnacentral:rRNA from 1 species
UGUAAAAUUUUAAAGGUCGAACAGACCUAAUAUUGUAGCUUCUACACCAAAAAUUUAUUUUAAUCCAACAUCGAGGUCGCAAUCUCUUUUUUUAAUACGAACUCUAAAAAAAAAUUACGCUGUUAUCCCUAAGGUAAUUUUAUCUUAUAAUCAAAAAUAUUGGRUCAUUCACUCAUAAAUUUAUGUUUUAAAAUAAAAAAAGUUAUUCUAAUUUUUCAAUCACCCCAAUUAAAUUAUUUAAUAUAAUUAAUAAAUAAAUACUAAAAUAUUAUUUUUAUUAAAUAAUUAAACUCUAUAGGGUCUUCUCGUCUUUUAACUUUAUUUAAGCUUUUUAACUUAAAA